UACGUAGGGUGCGAGCGUUAAUCGGAAUUACUGGGCGGAAAGUGUGCGCAGGCGGCCGAGCAAGUCGAGUGUGAAAGCCCCGAGCUUAACUUGGGAAUUGCGCUCGAAACUACUUGGCUGGAGUGUGGCAGAGGAAGGUGGAAUUCCAGGUGUAGCGGUGAAAUGCGUAGAGAUCUGGAGGAACACCGAUGGCGAAGGCAGCCUUCUGGGCCAACACUGACGCUCAUGCACGAAAGCGUGGGGAGCAAACAGG
rnacentral:rRNA from 1 species